UGAUAUGGUGAUGGAAUCGGUUUUGAUGGGGAGCAGCCAUCAGACGCAAGGGGGAAAGAGUAGUGCCGAAUCUACCGCUGUCCCGCAACUGUGAUGAGAAUUUCUAACCUAGGUUCUCUCAGUCAGAAUGCCCGCCGAUGUGAUGAACUCCAA
rnacentral:ncRNA from 2 species